rnacentral:rRNA from 1 species
CAGGCUUAACACAUGCAAGUCGAGGGGCAGCAUGGUCUUAGCUUGCUAAGACUGAUGGCGACCGGCGCACGGGUGAGUAACACGUAUCCAACCUGCCGUCUACUCUUGGACAGCCUUCUGAAAGGAAGAUUAAUACAAGAUGGCAUCAUGAGUCCGCAUGUUCACAUGAUUAAAGGUAUUCCGGUAGACGAUGGGGAUGCGUUCCAUUAGAUAGUAGGCGGGGUAACGGCCCACCUAGUCUUCGAUGGAUAGGGGUUCUGAGAGGAAGGUCCCCCACAUUGGAACUGAGACACGGUCCAAACUCCUACGGGAGGCAGCAGUGAGGAAUAUUGGUCAAUGGGCGAGAGCCUGAACCAGCCAAGUAGCGUGAAGGAUGACUGCCCUAUGGGUUGUAAACUUCUUUUAUAAAGGAAUAAAGUCGGGUAUGCAUACCCGUUUGCAUGUACUUUAUGAAUAAGGAUCGGCUAACUCCAUGCCAGCAGCCGCGGUAAUACGGAGGAUCCGAGCGUUAUCCGGAUUUAUUGGGUUUAAAGGGAGCGUAGAUGGAUGUUUAAGUCAGUUGUGAAAGUUUGCGGCUCAACCGUAAAAUUGCAGUUGAUACUGGAUAUCUUGAGUGCAGUUGAGGCAGGCGGAAUUCGUGGUGUAGCGGUGAAAUGCUUAGAUAUCACGAAGAACUCCGAUUGCGAAGGCAGCCUGCUAAGCUGCAACUGACAUUGAGGCUCGAAAGUGUGGGUAUCAAACAGGAUUAGAUACCCUGGUAGUCCACACGGUAAACGAUGAAUACUCGCUGUUUGCGAUAUACAGCAAGCGGCCAAGCGAAAGCGUUAAGUAUUCCACCUGGGGAGUGCGCCGGCAACGGUGAAACUCAAAGGAAUUGACGGGGGCCCGCACAAGCGGAGGAACAUGUGGUUUAAUUCGAUGAUACGCGAGGAACCUUACCCGGGCUUAAAUUGCAGAUGAAUUACGGUGAAAGCCGUAAGCCGCAAGGCAUCUGUGAAGGUGCUGCAUGGUUGUCGUCAGCUCGUGCCGUGAGGUGUCGGCUUAAGUGCCAUAACGAGCGCAACCCUUGUUGUCAGUUACUAACAGGUUCCGCUGAGGACUCUGACAAGACUGCCAUCGUAAGAUGUGAGGAAGGUGGGGAUGACGUCAAAUCAGCACGGCCCUUACGUCCGGGGCUACACACGUGUUACAAUGGGGGGUACAGAGGGCCGCUACCACGCGAGUGGAUGCCAAUCCCCAAAACCUCUCUCAGUUCGGACUGGAGUCUGCAACCCGACUCCACGAAGCUGGAUUCGCUAGUAAUCGCGCAUCAGCCACGGCGCGGUGAAUACGUUCCCGGGCCUUGUACACACCGCCCGUCAAGCCAUGGGAGCCGGGGGUACCUGAAGUGCGUAACCGCGAGGAGCGCCCUAGGGUAAAACUGGUGACUGGGGC